UCAGUUCUACUUUGUUUUCAGCUACACUUGAUGUGAACCCUGAUCCUCCUGUUUCUGAUCCUCUUCUUCCUACUGAAAAAGAUCCAUUUUUUUUUUAUUUCUUCAAAUAGGAAUUCUCAUUCUCCAGGUAAUUUGCUAAUUUUCUAGCAUUAAGUUCAUUUUGCUUUUAAUUUGAAAUGAUAGGCUGUGAAUUUUCGAUACAUAACUCGAGCACACUAAAUUUAGCUUCCAUUUUUUAUUUUGAUGAUUGUUCAAGAGGUUUAAAGAUAAUGAGCUGUGAAGUUUUUGUGUACUGGUGUUAUUUUCUUGAAUGUGUUAUAAUUUGGCCCCAAUUUUAUCAGAGCCCUGAAAAAUUGAGUCAUAAAUUGGGAUAAAUUAUUAGCAAAUCUCGCUUAUAAUUAUCACGGGGUAGGAUUUUCUGUACUUUAAUUUUCUUUAUGUACAUUUUGCAUUCUAUUUCUUUCUAUAAGGAUGUUCAGUGACUUUUCUAUGGCUAAAGUUGCAUCAAUUCAAGAAUGCAAAGCCAGAUGUAGCCGAAGGAAUAGGAUUAUAUAAUUAAUGAAGUUGUGGGAAUUUUGUGUGUUUCUUCCUAUGGUGCUGAAGUUUCAGGGGUAAACGUGUGCAUCACCACUCACCAGGACUUGAACAAGAAAUUAGGAUUGCACUGGUUGUAGCUUCGACUCCUCUCGGGGUAAUUUUGCUGUUCUUGGCGGGCUUUUUGAUAUACAGACUGAAAAGGUUGAAGAAAUACCGUGAAAAAAACAAUUAGAGUCCAGGUAGAAGCUGCAAAAGGGAUCUCAUUAGGUCCAAUUUUGGAUAAAUUCACUUCUUUGAGAAUUGGAAUAAAAAAGGGUUCUAUAGAUGACAUCGAGUACCAAUUGUUAGUAGCUGCUACAAAUAGUUUCCAUGAAGACAACAUUCUUGAUGAAGGUGGAUCAAGGCACUUUUAUAAAGCCCACUUUGACAACGACUUUCAUGCAGCCGUUAAAAAACAAUCGGCUGGUGGACAGGUAGCCGAAAGAGAAUUCAAGAAUGAGAUCGAGUGGUUGAAUAAGAUUCAGCAUCAGAACAUUGUUUUGCUUUCGGGGUACUGUAUUCAUGGCGAGGGGCACUAUCUCGCCUAUGAAUUUAUGCACGAUGGGCCAAUGGCUCUCUGGAAUUCCAGUUACAUGGAUGAAACUUGCGUUGUUGGAUGUGGCUGGGUACCUAUUCAAUGAUUUAACGAGUACCUCUCGACCUUGGAGGAUCACUUUCAUCUUUCAUUGAUCUCGAGGACCUUAAAUUCAUGUAGAGCGGUUCUUGAAAUUCUCAAUAUUACUGCUAUUUUUUAAUCUAAUAGCAUUUUUCAUCAAUAAUUUUUAAGAGAAAAUUUACAAUUUUAAAGAGACAGGGCAGACCUUUGCACAUUGGACUAUAGUCGUCGAUUUGUCUCCUUUAGGACCAUGCAGUUCAUUAGAGUUGGGUCAUUUUGAUCAUGGGAUUUCUUCGAAUUCAAGCAGCUUUAGUCAUCUGCUACUUCAUUUUAAAUAUUUGUCAUCUAUCCAGCAUCAGCAUCAUCACUAGUCAACCCUUCAGCUGAUAGUGUUGCUGCAGCUUUAGUCGGGAAGCUAAGAGUAAGACAUCAGCAUAGCCAAUCAAUGGAUGGGUCAACUAUAAUGAAACAUGAGAUUCUCGGAAGAACCCCUUCCGGUGAGUCUAAGAAAGCCCAAAACCAACUAUUAUAACACCACCACCACCACAGAAAUUGAAAAGGAGAUUCAACACUUAGUAUAUUAAUUGCAAUAAGAUUCAAUUACAGCCGCCAAAUAAAAAAUUUCAGGGCCACCCUUUGCCGCCUCCAUUUCACCCCAGAGAUCUUCAGCCCCUCCACCACUACCAAUUUUAGCACCACCAGCAGAAUCGUCAAGAUGAAUAAAGCAAAAAUAGCAAUAUAAACCGCAGCCUAAAGCGAGAUCGUGACAACAAUUACGGUGUUUCCACCACCAUCAUCACUGGCGACGUGCUGCCGUCGAGGAAGAAGAGCUAGUGCCAGCCACCAGAGAAGAAAAAAUGACAAGACGACCUAGAGGCAGACCCACCGGUUCCAAGAACAAACCAAAACCCCCCAAAACCCACAGCUGUGAUAUUAAAUAAAGUGUGUCCACUUUAGCCACACGAGUAUAUUUAAUCAAUUAUCAUUCAACUUUGAAAUGGUUACUACUUACUUACUCUUCUUUAACGGGUUAUUUAAUGGUCACCCAUCUUUCUAUUUAGUUACCCAUUCAGCACUCAUUUAACUUCCAUCUCUUCAAAUAAACGGAAAACUACGCGUGGAUGACAGAAGCAGACGUGGCAACCAUUUCUCUGUUAAAUUGACAACCUCGGAUAAAACACACACACGACUCUCCCCUAUUCUCAAUAUCAAAACCCCCAAUUCAAACCCUUUAAUUCCGGCCACAAUUUUCUCCAGGAUGGUGAUGCGGGCUGGUACAAAAUGGACGCCACCGGCCUGAGAAUCGCCGCCAUCUCUUCCCUUCACUGGUCCGCAUAAUAUCUUUGAUUAUGAUUUCCACCUCCAGGCUGCGGAUAAUUCUGCCUCUGACGAAAGUUUUGGGGAGAACCCUGACUCUAAAACCCACCUUGUUGAGGAUUUUUUGGCUCAAAUUAGGGUUUUGGUUUUGUGGGUACCGAUUAUUUUGGUUGUUGUUAUUCCACUGGUUAACGUUACCACUCGCUGGUCGAGGAUGGGGACAAUUAGGGGUCGGGUUAGGAACUCCAGGUGGAAAUCAUAAUCAGAUUUUUACCGUUAUAUGCUUGAGACAAGUAGAACCUCGUGGACUUGUGGAAAGUGCAAGGAAUCAGUAACUGUAGCUUUGAUUCAAUUGUACAGGCAAUCGAAGGUGAGUAGAAGCAGAUGGAAGAGAACUCCCACGGUUACUAGGAGCUUUCAAUUGUACAGUAGGAGAUAUGAAAAUGCGUAUAUGUAUAUGUAUCUUGAUCAAUGGAGUAGGGGUUGAAAAUGCGUAUAUGUAGUUGGUUGUUGUAAGUUGGUUCUUUGAACUUUGUAUUAUUGAAUGAAUGAAUCCUAUUAUAACUUGUUUUGUUUCCUUUUUAUGGCUGAGUUGAUGGUUGUUGUAACUUGGUUCUUUGAACUUUGUAUUAUUGAAUGAAUGAAUCCUAUUAUAAUUUGGUU